CCUACGGGUGGCUGCAGUGAGGAAUAUUGGUCAAUGGGCUUACGCCUGAACCAGCCAAGUCGCGUGAAGGAAGAAGUAUUUCGGUAUGUAAACUUCUAUCAGCAGGGAAGAAAAUGACGGUACCUGACUAAGAAGCCCCGGCUAACUACGUGCCAGCAGCCGCGGUAAUACGUAUGGGGCAAGCGUUAUCCGGAUUUACUGGGUGUAAAGGGAGCGUAGGCGGUUUAGCAAGUCAGAAGUGAAAGCCCGGGGCUCAACUCCGGGACUGCUUUUGAAACUGUUGAACUAGAUUGCAGGAGAGGUAAGUGGAAUUCCUAGUGUAGCGGUGAAAUGCGUAGAUAUUAGGAGGAACACCAGUGGCGAAGGCGGCUUACUGGACUGUAAAUGACGCUGAGGCUCGAAAGCGUGGGGAGCAAACAGGAUUAGAUACCCCAGUAGUC
rnacentral:rRNA from 1 species